rnacentral:lncRNA from 1 species
UGUUGCGCGCUAUUUUAAAAUUAAACUCAUCAUAUUGUUGAUAAAACCUAAACAAAGAAAGUGCAACCAUUACGGAACGAGGAUUUAUCAAGAUCUUCACGACCAUAUGGUGAUGACGCUGUGAGCUACGCACAGCUUAGACGUGAAGGGAAAUUGUAUAGUGUAGUGUAAAAUUUGUCCUGAGCUUAAGGUUCAUGCCAAGUUGUAUGUUGUGUCAUAUUAAUAGUAGAUGAAAAGGAAGCUGUUGUUGCUAUAGAAUAUAACGACUGUACGUUCUACGAAGCUUCUCAAGGAGGCUGCAAGCAUUAUAUAGCAUUGCUGUAUGCAUG